rnacentral:tRNA from 1 species
GGGGCGUGGCGAAAUUGGUAGACGCACUGGAUUUAGGUUCCAGCGCCGCAAGGUGUAAGAGUUCGAGUCUCUUCG